GGCGGGUGACGCGCGUGCGCAGCUGAGGAGGGGUCGGAGUUGGGGUCGCGCCGUGACGUCACGUCACCGCGCUGUGCCCCGCCUCCCGCCCCGGGGCGCCGCCCGGUCCGCUGGGGCCGCGCAACCGGAGCGGCCGCCGCGGGGUCCUGCUGCGCCACCUAGCGGGGCGGCCGGGCCUGCGCAGCCGCCGGCAGCAGCUGCCCGUGCCGAACGGUCACAGCACCGGCGCCCCGGAGGUGGCCUGGCUGGAAGCCAGCGUUCAGAACAGCGGGCUCGCCCUAGCCCGAGCUGGCGCCUGUCCCGCUUACUGUCGCGAGCUGAUUUGAAGCGCCUCAUGGCGGUUACGCUGCACCACAGAGAAGGACAAGGACAGGUUUGACCGAGUCUGGUGCACCCAGGGGAUCCCAGCAACCCCAGGGUAUCGCCAUCAAUGCCCGUUUUUCCUCAAAACCUGAGCCGCUACCUGGAUGCAGUCACUGUAAGCGGCUCCGGUGUCCCGUUGAUGGAGAGCGGCCGCCAAGCGAGUACCCUCGCAGAAUUCUUCUCCUUGAAGCGCUGCCCGGCGCCAGCACAGACCCGACUCGCCGCCGUGGCCAGGCCGAGCUGCUGCAGCUGACUCUGGUGGUGGAGCACCAGCCUCGCCGGUGACAGCGAGCGUGCGGCAGCGGUGUCUCCCGUUAACACACAGUCUAUGAAACGCCCGUUUGCUGCUCCUGCUGGAGACUGCCGCGGUUUGUGAUUCCCACCUGUAGUGAUAUAACCGAUAAAUGGGCACUUUUCUAAGCUCUCACAAAAAUUAGUGCGUGUAGCUAUCUAAUGGGUUCCCAGGUGGGUUGUCUGAUUGCUACCGCAAGUCUUGGUGAUGGUUUCAGCUUGCAGAGACCUCUUGGUGCUUUCCUGUUCCAGUGCAAUGAGGGAAAAUCAGUAGAUGCUGUGUGCUUUGAGGCAGGGCCGCCCAGCCGGGAGGGCGAGGACAACGCUGCCGCCCUCGGUGGCUGAAGGGAAAUUAACUUACUCUGGCCACGCAUAGCGGGAAUAAGCUGAAGAUGUUUAUAUAUGCAAAUGAAGGUUAAUGGCGAUUUCUGCUGUCAGAAACAAAAGGUGCUAG